rnacentral:rRNA from 1 species
UACAUGCAAGUCGAGGGGCAGGCACGGUUAGCAAUAACUGGUGGCGACCGGCGCACGGGUGCGUAACACGUAUACAAUCUACCUUAAACAGGGGAUAGCCUUUCGAAAGAGAGAUUAAUACCCCGUAAUAAAUUGAACGGCAUCGUUUGAUUUUGAAAGCUCCGGCGGUUUGAGAUGAGUAUGCGUCUGAUUAGCUAGUUGGUGAGGUAACGGCUCACCAAGGCGACGAUCAGUAGGGGACCUGAGAGGACUAACCCCCACACUGGUACUGAGACACGGACCAGACUCCUACGGGAGGCAGCAGUAAGGAAUAUUGGUCAAUGGAGGCAACUCUGAACCAGCCAUGCCGCGUGCAGGAUGACGGCCCUAUGGGUUGUAAACUGCUUUUAUACAAGAGAAAACCCUGGUACGUGUACCAAGUUGAUAGUAUUGUAAGAAUAAGCAUCGGCUAACUUCGUG